rnacentral:rRNA from 1 species
CCCUUAGAUGUUCGGGGCCGCACGCGCGCUACACUGAAGGAAUCAUCGUGUCUUAUUCUUGUCCGACAGGACCGGGUAACCCGUUGAACCUCCUUCGUGCUAGGGAUUGGGGCUUGUAAUUUUUCCCCAUGAACGAGGAAUUCCCAGUAAGCGCGAGUCAUCAGCUCGCGUUGAUUACGUCCCUGCCCUUUGUACACACCGCCCGUCGCUACUACCGAUUGAAUGGUUUAGUGAGACCUUCGGAUUGGUCCCGGCAUGGUGGGAAACUGCCUGGCCGUGGUUGCUGAGAAGAUGUUCAAACUUGAUCAUUUAGAGGAAGUAAAAGUCGUAACA